GACGAACGCUGGCGGCGUGCUUAACACAUGCAAGUCGAACGGAAAGGCCCCUUCGGGGGUACUCGAGUGGCGAACGGGUGAGUAACACGUGGGUGAUCUGCCCUGCACUUCGGGAUAAGCCUGGGAAACUGGGUCUAAUACCGGAUAGGACCACGGGAUGCAUGUCCUGUGGUGGAAAGCUUUUGCGGUGUGGGAUGGGCCCGCGGCCUAUCAGCUUGUUGGUGGGGUGACGGCCUACCAAGGCGACGACGGGUAGCCGGCCUGAGAGGGUGUCCGGCCACACUGGGACUGAGAUACGGCCCAGACUCCUACGGGAGGCAGCAGUGGGGAAUAUUGCACAAUGGGCGCAAGCCUGAUGCAGCGACGCCGCGUGGGGGAUGACGGCCUUCGGGUUGUAAACCUCUUUCAGCAGGGACGAAGCGCAAGUGACGGUACCUGCAGAAGAAGCACCGGCCAACUACGUGCCAGCAGCCGCGGUAAUACGUAGGGUGCGAGCGUUGUCCGGAAUUACUGGGCGUAAAGAGCUCGUAGGUGGUUUGUCGCGUUGUUCGUGAAAACCGGGGGCUUAACCCUCGGCGUGCGGGCGAUACGGGCAGACUGGAGUACUGCAGGGGAGACUGGAAUUCCUGGUGUAGCGGUGGAAUGCGCAGAUAUCAGGAGGAACACCGGUGGCGAAGGCGGGUCUCUGGGCAGUAACUGACGCUGAGGAGCGAAAGCGUGGGGAGCGAACAGGAUUAGAUACCCUGGUAGUCCACGCCGUAAACGGUGGGUACUAGGUGUGGGUUUCCUUCCUUGGGAUCCGUGCCGUAGCUAACGCAUUAAGUACCCCGCCUGGGGAGUACGGCCGCAAGGCUAAAACUCAAAGGAAUUGACGGGGGCCCGCACAAGCGGCGGAGCAUGUGGAUUAAUUCGAUGCAACGCGAAGAACCUUACCUGGGUUUGACAUGCACAGGACGCCGGCAGAGAUGUCGGUUCCCUUGUGGCCUGUGUGCAGGUGGUGCAUGGCUGUCGUCAGCUCGUGUCGUGAGAUGUUGGGUUAAGUCCCGCAACGAGCGCAACCCUUGUCUCAUGUUGCCAGCGGGUAAUGCCGGGGACUCGUGAGAGACUGCCGGGGUCAACUCGGAGGAAGGUGGGGAUGACGUCAAGUCAUCAUGCCCCUUAUGUCCAGGGCUUCACACAUGCUACAAUGGCCGGUACAAAGGGCUGCGAUGCCGCGAGGCUUAGCGAAUCCUUUUAAAGCCGGUCUCAGUUCGGAUCGGGGUCUGCAACUCGACCCCGUGAAGUCGGAGUCGCUAGUAAUCGCAGAUCAGCAACGCUGCAGUGAAUACGUUCCCGGGCCU
rnacentral:rRNA from 1 species